rfam:Ovis aries breed Texel chromosome 3, whole genome shotgun sequence.
UCCCUGAUGGUUCAGUGCUUAGGACUCCACACUUCCACUGCUAUGGCCCAGGUUUGACCCCUGGUCAGGGAA